rnacentral:rRNA from 1 species
UACAGAGGUCCCAAGCGUUGUUCGGAUUCACUGGGCGUAAAGGGUGCGUAGGCGGUCGGGUAAGUCUGAUGUGAAAUCUCACAGCUUAACUGUGAAACUGCAUUGGAUACUAUCCGGCUCGAGGAAUGGAGGGGAGACUGGAAUACUUGGUGUAGCAGUGAAAUGCGUAGAUAUCAAGUGGAACACCAGUGGCGAGGGCGGGUCUCUGGGCCGUUACUGACGCUGAGGAGCGAAAGCGUGGGGAGCGAACAGG